UACGAAGGGGGCGAGCGUUUGUUCGGAGUUACUGGGCGUAAAGAGUGCGUAGGCGGUGUUCCAAGUCUGUUGAUGAAAUCUCCCGGCUCAACUGGGAGGGUGCGGCGGAAACUGGGACGCUGGAGUACGGGAGAGGUGAAGCGGAAUUCCUGGUGUAGCGGUGAAAUGCGUAGAUAUCAGGAGGAACACCUGCGGUGUAGACGGCUUACUGGACCGUAACUGACGCUGAGGCACGAAAGCGUGGGUAGCAAACAGG
rnacentral:rRNA from 1 species